ACGCUCGACACCUACGGGAGCAGCAGUAGGGAAUCUUCCACAAUGGGCGCAAGCCUGAUGGAGCAACACCGCGUGAGUGAAGAAGGGUUUCGGCUCGUAAAGCUCUGUUGUUGGAGAAGAACGUGCGUGAGAGUAACUGUUCACGCAGUGACGGUAUCCAACCAGAAAGUCACGGCUAAAUACGUACCAGCAGCCGCGGUAAUCUGAGCGGGCUGGCAAGGC
rnacentral:rRNA from 1 species